UCCUACAACAAACAGAAAACUCCAGAAUCCGCUGCUAGAAACAGGACGCAUGCAUUGGAACUUUUGGAUCCUAUUUUCGUAGUAUAUUUCUUGUUCCUCAUUGCAACAAAACCUUCUGUUUUGUUAGGUUAAGUUUUUUUUUAGAUGGAGGAGAGGUCGUCACAAGUCAAAGCUGCCAUUAUCAGCUUGUCGUCUGCACAAGCAGAUUGAGAGAGUCAUUUGCUGGCCUUCGGUUCCACCUUCAGUCCAUCCCUCAUGACCAUCACUGAAACUUCGGCUUGGCUUCCAUUCUGUUGUAAAGGCGACCAAGUCUCAUCAUCUCCUCAGUCAGGGUGUCCUCAGUAAAGACUUUCCAAAGAAGAGGGAGAUAAGUUGUUUCUCGACGUGGCAACUCUUGCAGCAGUCUGGCACUGUCCUUACCGAAAAGUCGGUCUUGGAAGCUUGAGAGUGAUCACUAGCCCUUCAUUCAGCAUCGAUCGAGGAACAAAAAGCGACACUGCUCAGCGACAAGUGUGGAGAUGGUUGGUGGUGAUCAUAAAGCUUAUGGAAUUCAUUUUUGUACCGUUAGAAUCUGUGUGAUGAGAACAGAGGCAUUCUCCGGCCUGGACUUUCACUGAUGCGUUUGUAAGAUGGUCUGGUAAAAGAAGCUCACACUUUCCAUAUUCGUGACGGAAAAAAGUUUAGUUAGCACUGUCUGAGGUCACACGUGUGUGUGUUUCCAUGUGUAUAUUUUUAUGUUUUU